rnacentral:lncRNA from 1 species
UUCUCCACAUCCCAGGAGCAAGAAACCCUAGGGUUUCUUGCCGCCAGGUCCAUAAAAGGAAAGAAAAGCAAGGAGGCGCUAGCCCCUUCCCCCUUGCAGCCGCCAGCCAUUUUCCUCUCUCCCUCUCUUGCAGCCGCUCAAGCAUCAGGUCCAGGACCUGGAAUCUCUUGCGAAGAGGUUGAUACAAGUCUCUCUCAGAUCUGGAGUUGAUCUGAGGUCGUUUGAGACGUGGGUGAGAUCUCCAUCAACAGAUCUACAGGAAAGGCUACAGCAGGACAGAUCUAAAAGGUCUGUCUCCAUCUACCUUCUUCCCUAUCUAGAACGCCCCGAUUCGAGAUCUAUGAAUUGGAGGACCUCGAUCCAGGCCUGAUCUGGUUGGGUACCAGAUCUUGGAUUUUUUAGAGGUGAUUUCAGAGGCGUUCUUCAUCUGGAACGAAAGGCUGACGAAGAAGACAACAACCAGGCUG